UACGUAGGUGGCUAGCGUUGUCCGGAUUUACUGGGCGUAAAGAGCGCGCAGGCGGUCGUUCAAGUCGAGUGUGAAAGCCCCCGGCUCAACUGGGGAGGGUCACUCGAUACUGAUCGACUCGAAGGCAGGAGAGGGAAGCGGAAUUCCCGGUGUAGUGGUGAAAUGCGUAGAUAUCAGGAGGAACACCGGUGGCGAAGGCGGGUCUCUGGGCCGAUACUGAUGCUGAGGAGCGAAAGCGUGGGGAGCGAACAGG
rnacentral:rRNA from 1 species